rnacentral:rRNA from 1 species
GAUGAACGCUAGCGGGAGGCCUAACACAUGCAAGCCGAGCGGUAGAGUCAGUUCGUUGCCUUGAGAGCGGCGCACGGGUGCGGAACACGAGUGCAACCUGCCUUUAUCUGGGGGAUAGCCUUUCGAAGGGAAGAUUAAUACUACAUAAUAUAAUGGAUGGCAUCAUCUGGUAUUAAAAACUCAGGAGGAUAGAGAUGGGCACGCGUGAGAUUUGAUCGCUGGUGAGGUAACGGCUCACCAAGUCAGCGAACUAUAGGUGCGAUGAUAGGGUGAUCCACCACACCUGUACUACGACACGGACUAGACUCCUACGCGAGGCAGCAGUGAGGAACAUUGGACGCGGGGGGAUAGCCUGAUCCAGCCAUCCCGGGUGAAAGACUACUGCCCUAGGGGUUGUAAACUUCUUGUGUAUAGGGUAAAACCUAGAUACGUGUAUCUAGCUGAAGGUACUAAACGAAUAAGCACCGGCUAACUCCGUG